rnacentral:tRNA from 1 species
GAGGAUAUAGCUCAGUUUGUAGAGUGCUUGCCUUGCAUGCACAAGGUGCUGGGUUCAAUCCCCAGCACCAUCA